rnacentral:rRNA from 1 species
GGGUUGUGAGGUUAAGCGACUAAGCGUACACGGUGGAUGCCCUGGCAGUCAGAGGCGAUGAAGGACGUGCUAAUCUGCGAUAAGCGUCGGUAAGGUGAUAUGAACCGUUAUAACCGGCGAUUUCCGAAUGGGGAAACCCAGUGUGUUUCGACACACUAUCAUUAACUGAAUCCAUAGGUUAAUGAGGCGAACCGGGGGAACUGAAACAUCUAAGUACCCCGAGGAAAAGAAAUCAACCGAGAUUCCCCCAGUAGCGGCGAGCGAACGGGGAGCAGCCCAGAGCCUGAAUCAGUGUGUGUGUUAGUGGAAGCGUCUGGAAAGGCGCGCGAUACAGGGUGACAGCCCCGUACACAAAAAUGCACAUGCUGUGAGCUCGAUGAGUAGGGCGGGACACGUGGUAUCCUGUCUGAAUAUGGGGGGACCAUCCUCCAAGGCUAAAUACUCCUGACUGACCGAUAGUGAACCAGUACCGUGAGGGAAAGGCGAAAAGAACCCCGGCGAGGGGAGUGAAAAAGAACCUGAAACCGUGUACGUACAAGCAGUGGGAGCACGCUUAGGCGUGUGACUGCGUACCUUUUGUAUAAUGGGUCAGCGACUUAUAUUCUGUAGCAAGGUUAACCGAAUAGGGGAGCCGAAGGGAAACCGAGUCUUAACUGGGCGUUAAGUUGCAGGGUAUAGACCCGAAACCCGGUGAUCUAGCCAUGGGCAGGUUGAAGGUUGGGUAACACUAACUGGAGGACCGAACCGACUAAUGUUGAAAAAUUAGCGGAUGACUUGUGGCUGGGGGUGAAAGGCCAAUCAAACCGGGAGAUAGCUGGUUCUCCCCGAAAGCUAUUUAGGUAGCGCCUCGUGAACUCAUCUCCGGGGGUAGAGCACUGUUUCGGCAAGGGGGUCAUCCCGACUUACCAACCCGAUGCAAACUGCGAAUACCGGAGAAUGUUAUCACGGGAGACACACGGCGGGUGCUAACGUCCGUCGUGAAGAGGGAAACAACCCAGACCGCCAGCUAAGGUCCCAAAGUCAUGGUUAAGUGGGAAACGAUGUGGGAAGGCCCAGACAGCCAGGAUGUUGGCUUAGAAGCAGCCAUCAUUUAAAGAAAGCGUAAUAGCUCACUGGUCGAGUCGGCCUGCGCGGAAGAUGUAACGGGGCUAAACCAUGCACCGAAGCUGCGGCAGCGACACUAUGUGUUGUUGGGUAGGGGAGCGUUCUGUAAGCCUGUGAAGGUGUACUGUGAGGUAUGCUGGAGGUAUCAGAAGUGCGAAUGCUGACAUAAGUAACGAUAAAGCGGGUGAAAAGCCCGCUCGCCGGAAGACCAAGGGUUCCUGUCCAACGUUAAUCGGGGCAGGGUGAGUCGACCCCUAAGGCGAGGCCGAAAGGCGUAGUCGAUGGGAAACAGGUUAAUAUUCCUGUACUUGGUGUUACUGCGAAGGGGGGACGGAGAAGGCUAUGUUGGCCGGGCGACGGUUGUCCCGGUUUAAGCGUGUAGGCUGGUUUUCCAGGCAAAUCCGGAAAAUCAAGGCUGAGGCGUGAUGACGAGGCACUACGGUGCUGAAGCAACAAAUGCCCUGCUUCCAGGAAAAGCCUCUAAGCAUCAGGUAACAUCAAAUCGUACCCCAAACCGACACAGGUGGUCAGGUAGAGAAUACCAAGGCGCUUGAGAGAACUCGGGUGAAGGAACUAGGCAAAAUGGUGCCGUAACUUCGGGAGAAGGCACGCUGAUAUGUAGGUGAAGUCCCUCGCGG